rnacentral:rRNA from 1 species
UACAGAGGGUGCGAGCGUUGUCCGGAAUCACUGGGCGUAAAGGGCGCGUAGGCGGCCUGAUAAGUCGGGGGUGAAAUCCUGUGGCUUAACUGCAGGGCUGCCUCCUAGACUGUUAGGCUCGAGCACGGUAGAGGCAGAUGGAAUUCCCGGUGUAGCGGUGGAGUGCGUAGAGAUCGGGAAGAACAUCGGUGGCGAAGGCAGGUCUCUGGGCAUUAACUGACGCUGAGGAGCGAAAGCAUGGGGAGCGAACAGG